CUUUUGAUAAAAAAUUCGUAAAUAAUUUUCUAAAACUGAACAAAAUUGAAAUAAUUGUGAAAAUUAUCCUGAAGGCUGAAAAUAUAAGUAUUUUUGUUUUAAAUCCGCUCAGUUUUGAUUAUCGUGAAAAUUUAAUUGUUAUGAUGACCUAAGAAGCUUUGCAUUUGAAUUGCAUUUCUGCGUUUUACCAAUAUUCGUGGAUGGUGUACAUUGAACCAUGGCGGAAGCUCAACAAUUGGUGACUGAAGUUCCUAGUAGCUUGAAGCAGUUAGCUAGACUGGUAGCUAGAGGGUUUUACACCAUUGAGGAUGCGCUUGUGGUCGAUAUGUUGGUUCGAAAUCCUUGUAUGAAGGAAGAUGAUAUUUGUGAAUUACUUAAAUUUGAAAGAAAAAUGUUAAGAUCGAGAAUAGCAGGACUCAAAAAUGAUAAAUUUAUUCAAGUAAGACUGCGCAUGGAAACAGGACCAGAUGGCAAAGCUCAAAAAGUCAAUUACUAUUUCAUUAAUUAUAAGACCUUUGUAAAUGUAGUAAAAUACAAAUUGGAUGUGAUGCGAAAAAAGAUGGAAACUGAAGAGAGAAGAGCAACAAGUCGGGCGAGUUUUAUAUGUCACAAAUGUUGUAAAACUUUCACAGAUUUAGAAGCUGAUCAGCUAUUCGAUAUUACAACAAAUGAAUUCCGAUGCACAUUUUGUUACGAUAUUGUCGAAGAAGAUCUAUCAGCUUUGCCAAAACACGAUUCAAGAUCGAUGAUCGCCAGAUUUAAUAGUCAAUUUGAACCAUUGUAUGUUUUGUUAAGAGAAGUCGAAAGAUUAAGACUGGCUCCUGAAUUACUGGAACCUGAACCUGUCGACAUAUCUUCUAUUUUAGGUAAGGAUAGUAAAACAGCUCUAAAUCGACCUGGAGAUCAAGUUUGGUCGGGUGAAGCAACUAGACACAAGGGACCAGAAAAAACCGAAGUUGCUAUAACCAUCGGCGAUGAAAGUUCGUCGGCUGAAGGAAAAGAAGCACCUAAAGAAAGACCAGUUUGGUUAUUAGAAAGUACCGUUAUCGAUGCUGAAACCAGUCAAGCGAGUAUGAUGCUAGACGAUGCUACCACGUCAGCCCCGACCGCUGCGCCUAGUAGCUCUGCUACGAAUACUAAAAAUACAGAAGAUAUUAUGUCUGUGUUAUUACAACACGAGAAACGUGGCGGUUCUCAGAAUCAAACCAAUUUAGCCGCUGCCAGUAUAAAGAAUAAUGAAGAAAGUAGUGAUUCCAGUGGCGAUGAACCUGAUCAAAUGGGAAUUCCUGACUUCUACAAUCCUUACCCUGGUAAUAGUAACGGCGAUGGUGAUGAUGAUGACGACGAAGUGCCAAUGAUUCCUGUCGGUAGUCGCCGUAUACCGGUGACAGAUAUCGAUGAAAGUAUUGUCAGUCAAAUGACUCAAGAAGAAAAAAGUCAUUAUAUCCAAGUUUUCCAAGAAUACUACGACGAUACGCUCGCCUAAUCAUUUUCUCAAUCUGAAUGCACGAGUAUUUCCUCAAACGAAUAUUUUAUUCGUACUCGGCAUGCAAUUGUUAAAAUUCUAACUGUGGAGCAGUAAAAAAUUUGAACAUUUUUUUCAUGAGCUUGAUAAGCUAACAAAAAGUGACAUUUUGAUGGUUUUUUGCCUUUAAUGGCCUAAAUAUUACCAUCGAGUUACAUAAACAUCGCAUUUAUGUGAAACGACAACAUCAUUAAUGGAAACAAUUAACUUAUUUUC